UACGUAGGGUGCAAGCGUUAAUCGGAAUUAUUGGGCGUAAAGAGCGUGUAGGCGGUUCGGUAAGUCUGCCGUGAAAACCUGGGGCUCAACCCUGGGCGUGCGGUGGAUACUGCCGGGCUAGAGGAUGGUAGAGGCGAGUGGAAUUCCCGGUGUAGCGGUGAAAUGCGCAGAUAUCGGGAGGAACACCAGUAGCGAAGGCGGCUCGCUGGGCCAUUCCUGACGCUGAGACGCGAAAGCUAGGGGAGCGAACAGG
rnacentral:rRNA from 1 species